ACCUAGCUGGCUCAGUUGGUGGGGCAUGUGACUCUUGAUCUCAGGGUCAUGGGUUCAAGUCCCAUGUUGGGUA